UCUCAAACAUAUGAUGUACAGACCUAUU
rnacentral:sRNA from 1 species